GUCGGGAUAGCUCAGCUGGUAGAGCAGAGGACUGAAAAUCCUCGUGUCACCAGUGCCAAUCUGGUUCCUGGCA
rnacentral:tRNA from 1 species